GAUCAUGGCUCAGAUUGAACGCUGGCGGCAGGGCCUAACACAUGGCAAGUCGAACGGUAACAGGAAACAGCUUGCUGUUUUCGCUGACGAGUGGCGGACGGGUGAGUAAUGUCUGGGAAACUGCCUGAUGGAGGGGGAUAACUACUGGAAACGGUAGCUAAUACCGCAUAACGUCGCAAGACCAAAGAGGGGGACCCUCGGGCCUCUUGCCAUCGGAUGUGCCCAGAUGGGAUUAGCUUGUUGGUGGGGUAACGGCUCACCAAGGCGACGAUCCCUAGCUGGUCUGAGAGGAUGACCAGCCACACUGGAACUGAGACACGGUCCAGACUCCUACGGGAGGCAGCAGUGGGGAAUAUUGCACAAUGGGCGCAAGCCUGAUGCAGCCAUGCCGCGUGUAUGAAGAAGGCCUUCGGGUUGUAAAGUACUUUCAGCGGGGAGGAAGGGAGUAAAGUUAAUACCUUUGCUCAUUGACGUUACCCGCAGAAGAAGCACCGGCUAACUCCGUG
rnacentral:rRNA from 1 species